rnacentral:rRNA from 1 species
CGCCCUUGGGACUGAGACACGGCCCAAACUCCUACGGGAGGCAGCAGUGGGGAAUAUUGGACAAUGGGCGCAAGCCUGAUCCAGCCAUGCCGCGUGAGUGAUGAAGGCCUUAGGGUUGUAAAGCUCUUUCACCGGAGAAGAUAAUGACGGUAUCCGGAGAAGAAGCCCCGGCUAACUUCGUGCCAGCAGCCGCGGUAAUACGAAGGGGGCUAGCGUUGUUCGGAAUUACUGGGCGUAAAGCGCACGUAGGCGGAUAUUUAAGUCAGGGGUGAAAUCCCGGAGCUCAACUGCGGAACUGCCUUUGAUACUGGGUAUCUUGAGUAUGGAAGAGGUAAGUGGAAUUGCGAGUGUAGAGGUGAAAUUCGUAGAUAUUCGCAGGAACACCAGUGGCGAAGGCGGCUUACUGGUCCAUUACUGACGCUGGAGGUGAGGGACCGGGAAGAACCAGCCACGCCCUUCUACUAAC